rnacentral:rRNA from 1 species
UACGUAGGGUGCGAGCGUUGUCCGGAAUUAUUGGGCGUAAAGGGCUCGUAGGCGGUUUGUCGCGUCGGGAGUAAAAACGCCGUGCUUAACACGGCGCUUGCUUUCGAUACGGGCAGACUAGAGGUAUUCAGGGGAGAACGGAAUUCCUGGUGUAGCGGUGAAAUGCGCAGAUAUCAGGAGGAACACCGGUGGCGAAGGCGGUUCUCUGGGACGGUACUGACGCUGAGACGCGAAAGCGUGGGGAGCGAACAGG